rfam:Desulfobacterales bacterium PC51MH44 PC51MH44_contig000259, whole genome shotgun sequence.
GCGGUCCCACUUGACAAAAACUUAGCCAGCAGGUCAAUAGUGACAUUCGAGGGCAAAAUCCGAGAGGAGGGUCCUAAGCCGGGCGGAACAAGGAUGUAGGCUGUGUGAUUGAGCCCCGAAAAAUGUAUAGUUGUGGACAGCAGGAUAAACUCAUGAUCGAAAGAUUGCGAGGGAAAGCCGACAGUUUUCAUGUACUGGAAGGUAGCAGUCCUGGAUGCGCUAUGGCGAGUAUUCAGGACACCACCGGGGUCUGAUGUAG